rnacentral:rRNA from 1 species
ACAUGCAAGUCGAGGGGCAUCAGGAAGCUUUUAGAGUUCUUUGCUGGCGACCGGCGCACGGGUGAGUAACACGUAUCCAACCUGCCCUUUACUCGGGGAUAGCCUUUCGAAAGAAAGAUUAAUACCCGAUGGCAUAAUGAUUCCGCAUGGUUUCAUUAUUAAAGGAUUCCGGUAAAGGAUGGGGAUGCGUUCCAUUAGGUUGUUGGUGAGGUAACGGCUCACCAAGCCUUCGAUGGAUAGGGGUUCUGAGAGGAAGGUCCCCCACAUUGGAACUGAGACACGGUCCAAACUCCUACGGGAGGCAGCAGUGAGGAAUAUUGGUCAAUGGGCGCUAGCCUGAACCAGCCAAGUAGCGUGAAGGAUGAAGGCUCUAUGGGUCGUAAACUUCUUUUAUAUAAGAAUAAAGUGCAGUAUGUAUACUGUUUUGUAUGUAUUAUAUGAAUAAGGAUCGGCUAACUCCGUGCCAGCAGCCGCGGUAAUACGGAGGAUCCGAGCGUUAUCCGGAUUUAUUGGGUUUAAAGGGAGCGUAGGUGGACUGGUAAGUCAGUUGUGAAAGUUUGCGGCUCAACCGUAAAAUUGCAGUUGAUACUGUCAGUCUUGAGUACAGUAGAGGUGGGCGGAAUUCGUGGUGUAGCGGUGAAAUGCUUAGAUAUCACGAAGAACUCCGAUUGCGAAGGCAGCUCACUGGACUGCAACUGACACUGAUGCUCGAAAGUGUGGGUAUCAAACAGGAUUAGAUACCCUGGUAGUCCACACAGUAAACGAUGAAUACUCGCUGUUUGCGAUAUACAGUAAGCGGCCAAGCGAAAGCAUUAAGUAUUCCACCUGGGGAGUACGCCGGCAACGGUGAAACUCAAAGGAAUUGACGGGGGCCCGCACAAGCGGAGGAACAUGUGGUUUAAUUCGAUGAUACGCGAGGAACCUUACCCGGGCUUAAAUUGCAGUGGAAUGAUGUGGAAACAUGUCAGUGAGCAAUCACCGCUGUGAAGGUGCUGCAUGGUUGUCGUCAGCUCGUGCCGUGAGGUGUCGGCUUAAGUGCCAUAACGAGCGCAACCCUUAUCUUUAGUUACUAACAGGUUAUGCUGAGGACUCUAGAGAGACUGCCGUCGUAAGAUGUGAGGAAGGUGGGGAUGACGUCAAAUCAGCACGGCCCUUACGUCCGGGGCUACACACGUGUUACAAUGGGGGGUACAGAAGGCAGCUAGCGGGUGACCGUAUGCUAAUCCCAAAAGCCUCUCUCAGUUCGGAUCGAAGUCUGCAACCCGACUUCGUGAAGCUGGAUUCGCUAGUAAUCGCGCAUCAGCCACGGCGCGGUGAAUACGUUCCCGGGCCUUGUACACACCGCCCGUCAAGCCAUGGGAGCCGGGGGUACCUGAAGUACGUAACCGCAAGGAUCGUCCUAGGGUAAAACUGGUGACUG